rnacentral:rRNA from 1 species
AUUGAACGCUAGCGGCAUGCUUAACACAUGCAAGUCGAACGGUAACAGGCCUAGCUUGCUAGGCGCUGACGAGUGGCGGACGGGUGAGUAAUGCUUGGGAAUCUGCCCAGUAGCGGGGGACAACUCGGGGAAACUCGAGCUAAUACCGCAUACGCCCUACGGGGGAAAGCGGGGGACCUUCGGGCCUCGCACUAUUGGAUGAGCCCAAGUCGGAUUAGCUUGUUGGUGGGGUAAUGGCCUACCAAGGCAACGAUCCGUAGCUGGUCUGAGAGGACGAUCAGCCACACUGGGACUGAGACACGGCCCAGACUCCUACGGGAGGCAGCAGUGGGGAAUAUUGGACAAUGGGCGCAAGCCUGAUCCAGCAAUGCCGCGUGUGUGAAGAAGGCCUUCGGGUUGUAAAGCACUUUCAGUGGGGAAGAAAAGCUUAAGGUUAAUACCCUUGAGCCCUGACAUUACCCACAGAAGAAGCACCGGCUAACUCUGUGCCAGCAGCCGCCGUAACAC